rnacentral:rRNA from 1 species
ACUGCUCAGUAACACGUGGACAACCUGCCCUUAGGACGGGGAUAAACCCGGGAAACUGGGUAUAAUACCCGAUAGGUCUCGAUUGCUGGAAUGCAUCGAGAUUUAAAGCUCCGGCGCCUAAGGAUGGGUCUGCGGCCUAUCAGGUAGUAGUGGGUGUAGCGUACCUACUAGCCUACGACGGGUACGGGUUGUGAGAGCAAGAGCCCGGAGAUGGAUUCUGAGACACGAAUCCAGGCCCUACGGGGUGCAGCAGGCGCGAAAACUUUACAAUGCUGGCAACAGCGAUAAGGGAACCUCGAGUGCCAGGUUACAAAUCUGGCUGUCGAGAUGCCUAAAAAGCAUUUCAUAGCAAGGGCCGGGCAAGACCGGUGCCAGCCGCCGCGGUAACACCGGCGGCUCGAGUGGUAACCGUUAUUAUUGGGUCUAAAGGGUCUGUAGCCGGCCGGAUAAGUCUCUUGAGAAAUCUGGCAGCUUAACUGUCAGGCUUUCAGGAGAUACUGUCUGGCUCGAGGCCGGGAGAGGUGAGAGGUACUUCAGGGGUAGGGGUGAAAUCUUGUAAUCCUUGAAGGACCACCAGUGGCGAAGGCGUCUCACCAGAACGGACCUGACGGCAAGGGACGAAAGCUAGGGGCACGAACCGGAUUAGAUACCCGGGUAGUCCUAGCCGUAAACGAUACUCGCUAGGUGUCGGCCACGGUGCGACCGUUGUCGGCGCCGUAGGGAAGCCGUGAAGCGAGCCACCUGGGAAGUACGGCCGCAAGGCUGAAACUUAAAGGAAUUGGCGGGGGAGCAC